CGUAGCUACUAGUCAGUUCAGAUAAAACAAAAUUGUUUUUGUGAAGAAGAAACCAUAAGAGGCAGCAGCAUUUAAGCACUCCAUAGAGAACAACACAUAAAAGCCAGGGUCUGCAAAAGCAUUUCCCAACAUAUAGCAGCAUUCCUCAGCUCUGCUGUGUGCAGUGAUGGCUAUAUUACUUCCUAAGUAAGUCUAAGGCAGGACAUGACAGCAAGUCACUGAACAAUUCCAACUGGAGAUAACCUCAAGUCAGUCACUAACCCUGGGGUCUGGAGCUUUUUGGAUACAUUUGGUGUCAUUGUCAUAGCUGUGGGAUCCACAGCCUUGUCUCUGUGUUAUCUAAAUUUCUGGAUAAAGACUAAAAGUGAGUUUGAACUGUCUACAGGAAAGAACAGCCUCAGAUAAUUCCCAGGACUGUUUUCCUUGUAACACCCUGCUCUGAGAGAGAUCUCUCAUGCAAAUCAGGGGAACUCCAUUUUGAACUGCUGAUUAAAUAUUACAAACUGCUUCUAGAGGCUUCAUAUCCAAGAUCUGGAAAUAACCACUGCUCCUGUAUGUACCUUUAUGCCCUUUGAAU
rnacentral:lncRNA from 1 species